ACAGAGACACUCCCACAUUUUUCAGCAUGUUUUUACAAAAAGAUAGAUUUAGAGUGAGAUCAACUUGGAUUUUUCCACAAGGACAUAUACAGGAUACUAACCUCCACAACAUAACAUUCACUCCAAAUCAAAACUCCAAACCUUCAACCUGAUUAUUGACAAAUCUACCUGGAAGUAUUCAAAGAUUCUUAUUUCCAAGAUUUACAGCAAAUGGUCUGGCAAACAACCAACAGAAACCUGAAACACCAUCCAACAUGGAACAGAGACCUGAGCCCUAGGACCAUGCCCCAGGACUACCUGACAUGAUGACUCCUUGCUGUCCCCAGUCCACCUGGCCGUGCUGCUGCUCCAGCGGACAGCCCCCAGACAAUAAUACCCAAGGCAUUAUGGGCUCUACCCUUGAAUGACUUAGAGGGUAUUGAAAACGACGAUAUUCUACCGUUCUGUACAGCCGGCUUUGACAUAACUCAAAACACCCCACGAAUUGAAGAUUUGUCAUACAUCUACACACCAGCAAGCAGCCCCUGCCAUUCAUUGAAUAGUCCUGCACCUGCACCCUAUCCAGAAAGGCUCCACAGAAUUGUAGCUCAAAUACACCAAACGGCUUCACCACUGCCCGAGAAGGCUGACUGGUCUGAAAACGGAUUCAAGAGCAUGCUCUCUACGGCUACGAUUGUGACGAUACCUUAACGAAUCAUGCAGAGUCUAUACAUCAAGAGGACAACGGGAUAGGAAACACAUCGAGGAUUCCUCAGAAAAACAGCCAUCAAACAACCAAAGUCUCCUCCCAGGCCUAUACAAACAUAGAAGACCCAAUAUGUCAAGAGGAACAGGAGGAAAAGGAGGAAGAGGACGCUGAUGACAUACAGAGUAAAACAUCUAAACAGGUUGAUACAUUCAAAUGCUGUUAAUGAUGGUGAGGUCAAUGCUGUUAAUGACAACGAUGCUGAGGUCAAUGCUGUUAAUGUCAACGAUGCUGAGGUCAAUGAUGGUGCUGAUGAAGGGUUGAAGCUAUGAUGAGGAUGAUGUGUUGAUGUAAGAUGCAGCUUGAUACAAUCAAUUCUGAGGUAGAGCCAAUACUCAUUGAAGAUAGCAUCAAUGAGGACACUGAUCAUGAUAUAGAACUGAGAGAGGUCAAGUUACUAGAUAGGUUUCCCACAGCCUUUUACAGGGCUAAUAAAAGCCAGAGAGGUCCAGCUACACAAACAUAUGGUUGCUUUACUAAGAUGACAGUACAGUAAAGCUCUGUCCUUCUUGAUAAGCACCAAUCUGAUUAAAAAAUGCCCAAAGCAGAUCUAGAACAAUUUAUAUCCCUGCUGGAACGUCUUGUUCAAUCUAAUUUAUCCAUCAUAGCUGACCUAGACCUUAGAACUUGUUGUGCAAAUCGUCCGCCAACCCCUAGGCGGAGGGGGUCAGAGAAGGAAACUAGAUAGUCUCAUGCAAUCAGAAAUCAUAAACAAUAAGAAAGCAUAUCUCAUGAACGUUAACAAUCCUGCUAAUCAGUUAUGCUUUGCAAUAGGCCUAUCACAUUUACUCAACCCUGGAUGUACAGAUUUAGAAGCUUUACUAAAGGCUAGUGACAUCCAAAAGGCUGUAGGUCUAUGUAUACAGGAGCCUGUGGCUUUCUCUGGCAUAGUCAAAUUAGAAAAUUUGUUGAACAUCAAGAUUGUGGUUUUGUACCAUAGUAGAGUUAAACAUGCUCUCUAGAAAUUCCAGAACAACCCUCAACCUCCUCCUCAUAUUCUGUACUUUUAUGUGCAAAAGGACCAGGAUACACCAGACAGGGGGGGGCACUCUGGUCAGUAUAACUGUUCAGUGUGUCAGGAUACACCAGACAGGGGGGGUGGGCACUCUGGUCAGUAUAACUGUUCAGUAUGUCAGGCUACACCAGACAGGGGGGGGGGGCACUCUGGUCAGUAUAACUGUUCAGUAUGUCAGGAUACACCAGACAGGGGGGGGGCACUCUGGUCAGUAUAACUGUUCAGCUAGUCAGGAUACACCAGACAGAGGGGGGGGGGGGCACUCUGGUCAGUAUAACUGUUCAGUAUUGAUACAGGAUUGAGAUGAAUGGAUGCCCAAGAGAGAAUUGGACAUACAUGAUAAUGUCAGAAAAUAAGGAUAAUUUACUAAUCCUACCUAAGUCAUUAUUUAGGGUAUAUAAGGUUGAUACCUGGGCAGAGCCAGGUAUCAAAAGGUAAGUUAGUGGCCUAUUGGAUAAUAAACUAAUAAUAAAAAAUAAAUAAAAACUUUUUUUAGUUAAAGAUAUAAUCAUAUAAAACCUAUGAGAAACUGUUUGUUAACCAAGCCUGUAUGUCCAGGAUUUUAUGCAUUACAGGUGAACUACAGGUAAAGUCACUCAAUCCAGUCCCAGAGGCUUGUUGGGGGGACCAUACCAAGGACUCCUGGUGACAGCUAGCUGAAAGAGAUACCCGGAUUCAUAUCGCAUGGCGGGAGGGUAAGACACAAUGACACUGUCGAACAAUAAACAGUGUUCGAGAGGAGAACUGGAAUUAACAGAAUUCAUCUCUCGAAUGAAAAAACCCUCCCUGUCUUUUCAUCCCUGUUGUUGUUCAUAGAAGUGAAGAUGGGUCUGGCUCUUGCUAAGUGAUGUGUUCUCGGGGAGAGGGUGGGGCUUCACAUGGAAGCUGUUCGUCUGAGCUGUUUUAUCGUGGGUGACAUAUUUCUGAUACAGCACAUCCUACUUGAGUAUGCGGAGAGUGGUAAUUUGACCCAUGGUUUAGACGAUGAGGGUUUUGUUCCAAAAUAAGCAUAAGAGAUCCCUAGAUCUGGGUAGACAGGAAGUUAGAAUAGAGGUUGGGUAGGAUCUCUCAAUGGAGUUUUAUGUAGACCAAAAUGGAGUCUCUAACUACAUGGCAGUCUAGGACUCUGAGCCAUUAUGGCAUAUAUCGGUGCAGGUUCCCAUAUUGAUCGUGGACACAGGUCAUAGCUCAUUUGGAGAGAGAGGGCUAUAUGAAUCCACUCACCCAGUAUGGAAGACGGUAGAGUAGAGUGAAUAUGAAUAUGAGAGUUUUUGAUUGUAAUCAGGAGAGAGGGAUGUAUUGCAUAAAGAUACACUUAACCCUUUAAACAGAAAUGAAGGAGGAUCUAGGGUUGUGGUAUAGAUAUGACCAGGUCUUGGUCGACACCUUAGUAUGGUUCUGGGUAGAGGAGUUUAGGCCGGUAUGGUAAAGCUGUUCACGAAAGCAGGAAUGCCAGAUAAUGACAGUUGUAUUGAUUUGCACUAUUUAAAUCCCCAGGUUCCUCCCUUUACAGUGACCGGAGGAGAUUAUUACCGUUUGGCCCGGUACAGUACUCUUGGGAAAUUAUGUCAGGGCGAGGUUUUACCAACAGAUUGGACAGGAUUAUGCUCCAUUGUAAUGCCUUUCACACUCAUUCAACACCAAGACAUGAAGUAUAGCCAAAUGGGAGAAAAGAGCUAUUCCAUCCGGGUCUCUUAUUGACUAAGUACACAUUGAUAACAUUGGGGUUCCAAGGGGGGUGCCAGAUGAGUAAAAGCAAGAAAUCAGAUCCUAGCAGGAUUAGAGUUAAGCAUUUCUGGGGGGUCUACUCUCAAUAAGAAUGUGGACUGGAUUAAUUAUAUUUAUGAUAAUCAACAGCGCUUUAACAAGUAUACCAGAGAUGCUAUUAAAGGUUUUGCAGAACAGACUGAAGCAACCAGCUGGAUGGCUUGGCAGAAUAGAAUUGCAUUAGAUAUGUUAAUGGCUGAAAAGGGAGAAGUAUGCGUGAUUAUCAGGACCAUGUUUGUGCUUACAUCCCAAAUAACACAUCUCCGGACGAAUCAGUGCCCGAAGCCUCAGCUGGUUUGACCACCCUGGCUCACGGGUUGGCAGAAAACUCUGGGGUGGAUACUUCUCUGACUGAUUGGGUUUGAUAGUACGUUUGGAAAAUGGAAAAAUGUUAUGAUCACUGUGUUAUGGGUUACAUUCACCUGUGUGACUGUUUUAGUUUUAGGGGGCGGUUGUCUAAUUCCCUGUGUAUGAGGCCUUAUUUCCAGGACUCUGGAGAAAUCUAUGACAAUAGAUGGUGCGGUAUGGGCCGAGUCCAGGUUCUGACCCGUGGAGGACUGAAUGCAUGUCUACAGAACAAGUGGACGAAUCUGGAUCUUUUAUUUGUGGGGAAUUUAUAUUUGAUGAGACCAUUUGAUGUUUAGGGAGGCUAGGUUGUAUCCCUUCUCAGUAUUAGACUGUUUUUUUUAUCAAGAUUGUAACGAAAAUCCUGAUAAGAAGAGUUAUGAUUCUGAUGUAGGCCUGAGAAACAGUUAUGGCGAAUGCAAGUGUUGGGUUAUGUUUAGGUGAUGUUUUGAUGACAAGAUAUCUCUAAUAAAAAUAGAAAUGGGCUUUUCAAUAUUACAAUAUAACUACAAUGUGUGUUUGAAUGUAUAAUAUUUAAUCAAAGGGUGGAUAUGUUAAGGGAAUUUUUAUCAAUGAUGACUAAUUAUGUAUACAUUUCAAUCAGGACUGACUAGUCCAAAUGCUAUAAUGUACUGUACAUAUAUUAAUUUUCUCUCUUGCUCCCAUUCCCAAUUGUAUAUAAUACAGUCAGGAGUUUAGUAACAAUGACGGUCUGUUCCUUUGUACAAAUGAAUUAACUAUCUCCAGAUGGCAGGGACGGACCUUGGCUUCAGGCGAGGAGGGAAGGCUCGAGAACUAUAGGGCCUCUCUACUAGUGUCAGGAAGAGAUAGAACAUUUAGAAAACGCUGACGUCAUUUUCAGUUUAUAACCUGUGGUAAAAAGUGUAUGUACCAGUACUCUCUUGAAUUAAAUGCUGUUACCUGACUUUUAAGACCGGGGCUCUGUCCAUUCUUGUAAAAAUAUAGGGUCUUACAAGCCCUUCGAAUGCAUUGACAGAGUGAUGAAUUCUGAUUGGGAAAUAAUACAGAGGAAUUUAGAAUUCCUUUAACAGUCCAUUCAAUGUUUGGAGUGCUUGUCCCAGGAUAAAAGCAUUUUUAUUCAACAUGCUUUGAAUAAAGGGGGGAAAAGAUAGAACCCUACCAUGUAGAUGGUUACACACAGAUUGGCAGGGUUGAGACAGUGUUAGAAUACAACUGUUGUUUCUUUCACGGUUGUAAAUCUUGCUUUGAUUGUGAUCAUGUGUGUCUUAACCCAAAAUACUUUUGUACCAGGAGUUCUAAGACAAUUGGAAUCUUUACAGGUUGCUUAUGGGGUGAAAGUGAAUACGAUGUGGGAGCACAAGUGGACAGUACUCUUGUGAAAGUCUGAUCUUCAUGUUCAAGGUUUCCUUUUCACCUUUGACAUACCCAAAACCUUGGAACCUCGACAGGCCUUGUAUGGAGGUCGUACCAAUGCUUUGACAUUACGGCAUGUAGCGCAACCCGAUGAAACAAUUGGAUAUGUAGAUUUUACAUCCCUUUAUCCACAUGUAAUGAGUUCCUUUUGUUACCCUAUAGGGCAUCCUGAAAUUAUUCACCGGGACUUUGACUUAUCAGAAAACUAUUUUGGUCUGAUAAUAGCAACUGUAUACCCUCCCCGGGGCUUGUUUCUGUUGCCUCACAAGGGACCUCAAGAAACACCUUUCAUUCCCCUGCUGUGAAAACUGCUGUGAAAACAACAACCAGGAAAAGCCUUGUGAUCAUUCAGAUCAAAAAAGAGCCCUGACCGGUGUAUUGGUCACCGUUGAAUUCUCUAAGGCUAUAGAGAAGGGAUAUCGUGUGGCCAAAAUCUUUGAAGUGUGGAUCUUUCCCAGGAAAUCAGACACUCAUCAAGACCUUCUCGAGAUGCAAGCAAAUGGCUUCAGGCAUCAGUCACAGUCAUCUAGUCUAUAGUAGGUAAAGCUCUGCCUUAUAUCAGCUCACUGGUCACGAUAACAACACCCACCCGUAGCACGCGCUUCAGCAGGUAUAUCUCACUGAUCAUCUCCAAA